UCCUACGGGAGGCAGCAGUGGGGAAUCUUGCGCAAUGGGCGAAAGCCUGACGCAGCAACGCCGCGUGUGUGAUGAAGGUCUUCGGAUCGUAAAGCACUGUCGCGAGGGACGAAUAAGGGUCGGGCUAACAAUCCGGUCCGAUGACGGUACCUCGAGAGGAAGCACCGGCUAACUCUGUGCCAGCAGCCGCGGUAAUA
rnacentral:rRNA from 1 species